rnacentral:rRNA from 1 species
UACGGAGGGUGCAAGCGUUAUCCGGAUUCACUGGGUUUAAAGGGUGCGUAGGUGGGCUAGUAAGUCAGUGGUGAAAUCUCCGGGCUUAACCCGGAAACUGCCAUUGAUACUAUUAGUCUUGAAUGUCGUGGAGGUAAGCGGAAUAUGUCAUGUAGCGGUGAAAUGCUUAGAUAUGACAUAGAACACCGAUAGCGAAGGCAGCUUGCUACACGAGUAUUGACACUGAGGCACGAAAGCGUGGGGAUCAAACAGG